rnacentral:rRNA from 1 species
AGAGUUUGAUCCUGGCUCAGGAUGAACGCUGGCGGCGUGCCUAAUACAUGCAAGUCGAGCGAACGGACGAGAAGCUUGCUUCUCUGAUGUUAGCGGCGGACGGGUGAGUAACACGUGGAUAACCUACCUAUAAGACUGGGAUAACUUCGGGAGACCGGAGCUAAUACCGGAUAAUAUUUUGAACCGCAUGGUUCAAAAGUGAAAGGCGGUCUUGCUGUCACUUAUAGAUGGAUCCGCGCUGCAUUAGCUAGUUGGUAAGGUAACGGCUUACCAAGGCGACGAUGCAUAGCCGACCUGAGAGGGUGAUCGGCCACACUGGAACUGAGACACGGUCCAGACUCCUACGGGAGGCAGCAGUAGGGAAUCUUCCGCAAUGGGCGAAAGCCUGACGGAGCAACGCCGCGUGAGUGAUGAAGGUCUUCGGAUCGUAAAACUCUGUUAUUAGGGAAGAACAUAUGUGUAAGUAACUGUGCACAUCUUGACGGUACCUAAUCAGAAAGCCACGGCUAACUACGUGCCAGCAGCCGCGGUAAUACGUAGGUGGCAAGCGUUAUCCGGAAUUAUUGGGCGUAAAGCGCGCGUAGGCGGUUUUUUAAGUCUGAUGUGAAAGCCCACGGCUCAACCGUGGAGGGUCAUUGGAAACUGGAAAACUUGAGUGCAGAAGAGGAAAGUGGAAUUCCAUGUGUAGCGGUGAAAUGCGCAGAGAUAUGGAGGAACACCAGUGGCGAAGGCGACUUUCUGGUCUGUAACUGACGCUGAUGUGCGAAAGCGUGGGGAUCAAACAGGAUUAGAUACCCUGGUAGUCC